CAGCCAGUGAGUUCUUUCAAGGUUAUUUUCUGGAUACUCUGGAGAUGAGUAUCUCCAAGGCCUCAUCUCAUAGACCAAAGUUGCUAUUUUCAAUCAGUGUAAUGAGACAACACAUUUUAAAAUUCAUAUUAGCUUAUGAUUCAAUGCUUCCUUUAUUUCUGGUUAACAUAAAUGGUUAUAUUCCUAAUCAUAUUUCAAUCUUCAAAAAAAUUAUGAAAUCACGUGAAAUAAAAUCCAACUUCGAUAACUGAAAAUAGUUAUUAAUUGAAUUUCACCAUAUGCCAGCCACUUUGCUUAGCACUUUAUCUAAUGUAAUCCUUUACACUUUAUGAAGAAAAAAUUAUUUUCCAUAGUCUGCCUAUAAAGAAACUGAGGCCGAAAGUUAAAUGACUUCCCAAAAGUAACAUAGCCAGUAGGGAGAGGUGCCUGGUAGCAAAGCCCAUGUUCUCAAUUUUUCUCUUCUAUGCUAAAGUGAGAAAAUACCUGGAUGGGGUUAAUAUUUUCUAGUCUUUUCUUGUCUGAAAGUAGACUGCUAUGCCUUUCACCAAAAAAAAAAAAAAAAAAGGCUGUCUUGAAGAAACCAAGGACACUAGUCAUAUAAUCUACUCUUCCAAAAAUAUUUGUACUUUCUCACAAAUUAUCCAAAAAUUCAACAAGAAAUUAUCCUUCAUUUUCAUAACAUGUUGAAGCCUUAUUUUACCAAAGAAAAAACUGAAAAUAAUAAAUUCAUGAACUCAGAUGUUUAUUAUUUUUAUUCUAUACUAUGUAUUUACUCUUUUCUCCCUGAGAUCCCAAAUUUAGUCAGCACAGGACUGUCACAUUGUUACAGACAACAGGACAGGUGGUAAUUAAGUUUGAAGGAGAAAACAAGACCAUAUAAAUACUAGAAGAAAAUACAAGGUCAUACCUUUAUAGUGCUGGAGGAGAGAAGGCCUUUCAAAUUAUGACCUCAAAUCCAGAAUUCAUUAAAAGUUUUAUAAAUUCAACUUCAUCAACAGAUAUAGACAAGACAUACAAAACUUUUGUAUUAUUUAAAACACUAUAAUCCAAAGCAAAUUACAAAACUCUCAAAUCAUGUACAUCACAGAGAGAAUAUAUGGAAGCUCCUUAAAACUAAGUAGUAGAAAACCGGCACCCAACAGAAAAAUGGACAAAUAUGAACCUGAUGUUUAUAAGUUAAAAGAAAAAAAAAAACAGAUGUCCCUUAAAUAUAUGAAAGCAUAGUCAAUGUCUCUCAAAAUAAAUCUGAUUUUGGGAUCAGAACAAAGGAAUAACAAACCCAAAACUACACCAAGAUAUAAUUUUUAACCUAUAAUAUACAUGACAAGAACGUAAAAUUUACAACUCUAUUGGCAAGUUUGUGAAAAAAAAUAACUUCUCUAAUAUGUUGCUAUUGGGUGUAAAAUAGUGAGACCCUGUGGAGGCAACUUGAGAAUGACCAUUAAAAUAAAAAUGCCUUCACUGUUGAUUUAUUAGUCUCUACUUCUGAGAAUUUAUUCUGCUAAUUUACAUGCAUGUAUACAGUAUGAUAUAUGUAAAUGUGAAUUCAUUAUAAUACUUUCUUUAUAAUAGCAAUAGACUGAGAAAACAACAACAAACAUCUAGCAUUAGGGGCAUAUUAUAUAAUUGACUAUCUUCCUAUUGAUACAUUUUUUUUCUGUUAUCACUUUUUUCUCAACAUAAUAUGCCCCAGCCUUGUUCUAGAAGGCAAAUCACAUAAACUGGCCUGUGAACACAUGGAAUUCUGGGACUAAGACCAGACAGAGUCACAAAUGGUUGCCUGGAAAAUAUCAGAACAGAACUCACACAAGCUCCCUGCUCUCAGGAGAAUCUGGCACAGCACCAUCACCAACUCAGAGGGAGGGAAGCAACCUUGAGUCAGCUCCCAGGCAGUAAUGAGUGUUCAAGGGAGAUAUAACUCUAAGGAAAAGGAUUGAGGUCAAGGAAUUAGAAGAAACAGAUGGAAGAAUCAUUUGAACCAUAUCCAGGUCUUUUGAAAAUGAUGAGACAGAAGAGAAAGCGAAAAUUGCUUCAGACAGUUUUGCUGAGAAAUUUGUCUCAGAUAAAUUUUGGAGUAAGGUCAGAGACCUAAGAUAAGAAAACCCCUAGGCAGAGGUGGGAAAAAAUAGAAAAAAGAAAACGAAAAGAGCAAAUACAUUCUUCCUUCCUAUCUUCCACUUGCCAGAGUAGCUUUACUAAGAUGCUGCCUGAUCAUUUCUCUCCAGACACUUUUGCCAAUGAUAUUAAUACUAUAAAGGAGCAUUUCUGGACUUGAUUCAUUAAUGAUUAGAAAGCUCGUAACAGAUUAGAUGACCAGGCUACAGUCUCACCUGCCAGGCAGUGCAGCUGCAGAUCUUGGCUGACCAUCAUGUCAGCACCUACUAUGUGCCAGUCACUGUGCCAGGAGUUGGAAAUAUGAGGAAGACCGUAAUUCUCAUAAUGAGAAUACAAGGAAGACCAUCUCUCAAGAAAGGAACAUCAUAAAACAUGUUUACUGUCAAGUCCUUGUCAUUAUCAAAAAUAUCUCCAGAUUGAUGUCAUUCUGAGAAAAGUGAUUUCAUACUGAAAAAAAUUCUACAAAAAUAGUAAAACUCUUCUUCUCAAUUUUCAGAACUUGGAUGGGGUUGGGGGCAGGUGCUUUCAUCUAUUUUCAUCUUGUCCUGGUAGAAAUUAUUUGCUUGAUUAACAUUUUGGUGGAGAAGUUCAGUCUCUAAGGCUACAGAUGAGAAGAUCAGUUACUGGAUGGGUUCCUAACUUCAAUGUCAAAUCCAAGAGCCUGAAAAUAAAGGAUGGAAAGAAAGGGAAACAAAGAAAAGUUAUCAGACAAUGUGAAGACAUUUUAUGGAGAGGAAGAAAGAGUGAGUGAGCACAGGAAAAAUCACAAAGCAGUAUAUGAAGAAAAGAAAGAGAUAACAGUUAUUAGUAAGUAAAGAGAUAAUUAAGAGAUAAUCCUUUCAGUGGCAUGAACACCAUAGUUUGUGACAUCACUGGUCAUUAAUGAUUUGUGAGAAGCAGUGUCUCAACUAUGUUUCUGUUACAUUAAUUAUACCCAAAAUAAAAUAUUUGCACACCUAUUGUUCCACAGUUAUUCCUAUAUUAUUUCAUGAAAAAGUUAAUAAUGAAUAAUUACUGAAUACUUAGUAGGUCCAUUCAACAUGCUAAAUGGUUUAUUUACAUUAACUAUUUUUAAUAUGCAAACUCCAUAAGAUAUAUGCUACUAUUAGGCCAAUUUAUAGAUACCAAAAUUGUAUACCAUAGGACUUAAUCACAUUUCUUUUCAUCUGUCCUCCUUCUCCUCCCUCGAUAGAAGCUUGACAUUAGUCUGAAGUUAAGUUACAGACAGUUUGCUGCGUAAUUUUGAGUAAUUCUCUAAGCCUUCAUUCUUCAUCCACAAAAUAGAUAGGACAAAAUAGAGUAUACGACAGCAUCGUUGUGAGGAUUAAAUGAAAUAAUUCACAUAAAAUCAUUUUAUUUAUAGCUGAAACAACAUAACACUCAAUAAGUGAAUUAAAAGAAUUAUCAUUAUUAUUUUAGAUGGCUGAUUGGAAAACAAUAUUAAGCAUCAGAAUUUUUUUUUUUUUUUGAGACAGAGUCUCGCUUUGUUGCCCAGGCUAGAGUUCAGUGGUGCGAUCUUGGCUCACUGCAACCUCCUCCUGCAGGGGUUCAAGCGAUUCUCCUGCCUCAGCCUCCUGAGUAGCUGGGAUUACAGGCACACACCACCAUGCCCGGCUAAUUUUUUCUUUGUAUUUUUAGUAGAGAUGGGGGUUUCACCAUGUUAGUCAGGCUGGUCUCGAACUCCUGACCUCGUGAUCCACCCGCCUCAGCCUCCCAAAGUGCUGGGAGGCAUGAGCCACUGCGCCCAGCCUAAACAUCAGAAUCUUAAGAGUGCUACUCAUGGUUAACUGGCAAAUAUUUUAUAAUACAUCAGGGUAGAUGCUGGCUUAAAAAUGAAAUGCUAGAGUUCCAGAUCAGAUUAUGGAUUUCUGAAAAAGCUUCUUUAAAAGCAUCUCAAAUAUUAGCCCAGAGCAAAUAGCACAGGAUUUAAUAUAAUUAAAUAGACACCCAUAAAUACUGCAAUGUUUGGCAUCACUGUAAAUGCCCAUAGGCCUCUCUGCACUGCUGCAUAUGCUGCUCAUGCCUGUGGGUUCUGAGAAGAGUUAUAAGUGACACAGUAGCAUCAUACCUUCUGCUAUAGUAUAAGAGGCCAAUAUAAUAUUACAUAUAUUAGAUAUAUAUAUAAUGGUUUUCAUGUAUGUAUAAGUAAUGAAUUAUUUUUGAUAUAUUAAACAAUCUCCCCCUUGUAAAUUCCCUCUUUUCCCUCUGCUCAGCUUCUGCUCUUCCCUCACAAACUUCCUCCCCUACUUCAUGUCACUGUGGUGUUCAGUACUCAGACAGUGGAAAGGAAAGCAACAUGGAAGCCAUUUAGCCUUUGAUUUGUAAAAGCACAGAAGCCAUUUACAGAAAGGGGGAGAAUUUUAAGCAUAAAGCAAACAUUUGAGAGAGUAGGUUGAAGAGACUCGGGAUGUUCCAGGAUUAGGAAUCACAAACAAAAAAAUAGAGGACUGGUGGAUCAGGGCUCACCUGGCCAGGUAGAUAGAAUAAGGCAUGUUUUUUAACAGAGACCUGUGUCGACAAAACAACUAGUCAACUUAAUGAGCGCCAGCACACUUAGGCAACAUGGAAGAUCACAUGCCUUUCCUCUACAGAGGUAGUAUAUAAGCUCCCAGAAUUUACCCAACAAUCUAGUGAAGUCCCAAAUUGUUAGUACAUUUCUAUCAUGUGAAUAGAAUGAAUGCUCAGAUUACAAAUUAAAUUUGCAUAUAAAAUACAAUGUGAUUUUCUCACACACCCAUGUCAGGUUCAUAUCCACACAUCCUAACUGACUGUAUUAUGCAUGUGCAUAUUUCUGUGUGUGUGUGUGUGUGUGUGUGUGUGUGUAAAACACAUAUAAAGACAUAUCAGUGUGGCCAUAAAGUUAUGCAUUUAAUUUCUAGGAAAUUCUACAGAGUAGAUACUGCAUAAAAAUUUCCCCUGGGAACAUAUAAAUGUCUCAAAGGCAGGAAUUCUGUUUUAUUCAUUUUUAUAUUAGCAGAGCCUGGCACAGCUCCUGAACUGAAUAAGUAUUUAUAAUAUCUGUUAAACUAGCAGUCAAUGUGCAUGUGUAAGAAAGCAGCAUCAUGAGAAAAUGUACUUUGAAGGACAUUAAUUUGGAAACCAUGAGUAAGACGCCUGGGUGGUUGAGCUAGGAGGCUAUUGAAACGUCAAGGAAAGGGUAUGAGGUUCUGAACUAGGAUGGUAGCCUUGGGAACAGGAAGGAGGGCAUGAAUGAGAUCACUAAGUGGUAAUUGAUGGAUUGUGGCAACAGUUUUCUAUUAUAGAACUAGAGCCCUUGUGGGGUUAAGCCUAGAAUGGUUUCUAUCCCUUGGCCAAAUGCUUAAGAGUAUAAAGUAAAUAUUAGCUAUCAGUGACAAUAGGAACUUGUAGAAACAGCUUUUUAGAAAGAAUGGUAUUCAAGAAGCUCAUCCAUUAAAAUUGAUUGCAUUUAAAUAGUCUAUCUAGUUAAAACACAAAAUA
rnacentral:lncRNA from 1 species